rnacentral:rRNA from 1 species
ACAAUGGGCGAAAGCCUGAUCCAGCAACGCCGCGUGAGGGAUGACGGCCUUCGGGUUGUAAACCUCUUUCAGUAGGGACGAAGCUAACGUGACGGUACCUACAGAAGAAGCACCGGCCAACUACGUGCCAGCAGCCGCGGUAAUACGUAGGGUGCGAGCGUUGUCCGGAAUUAUUGGGCGUAAAGGGCUCGUAGGCGGUUUGUCACGUCGGGAGUGAAAACUCGGGGCUUAACUCCGAGCCUGCUUCCGAUACGGGCUGACUAGAGGUAUGCAGGGGAGAACGGAAUUCCUGGUGUAGCGGUGAAAUGCGCAGAUAUCAGGAGGAACACCGGUGGCGAAGGCGGUUCUCUGGGCAUUACCUGACGCUGAGGAGCGAAAGUGUGGGGAGCGAACAGGAUUAGAUACCCUGAUAGUCCACACCGUAAACGUUGGGCGCUAGGUGUGGGACUCAUUCCACGAGUUCCGUGCCGCAGCUAACGCAUUAAGCGCCCCGCCUGGGGAGUACGGCCGCAAGGCUA